rfam:Dipodomys ordii contig_18658, whole genome shotgun sequence.
GGGAAGGUGGCUCAGUGGUAGAGUGCUUGCCUUGCAUGCAUGAGGCCCUAGGUUGGAUUCCUCAGCAUCACA